rnacentral:misc_RNA from 1 species
UCUCCUGAUACGCACGCUUUCCUCGCCCCCCGACUUCCCUCCUCUCUCCCUUUCCCCCUGACCAGCGACUGCAAAAAACGAAAGGAGAGGGCGAGCGUCCACGAGAGAAUGCCGAUGUGCAGUAGCAGUGGCAGCGGCGGCAGCAAAGGCAAUCACCGGCACGCCCACGACUUCUGCCCAACUGCAGUCCCUCCCCCCCACUCCCCUACUCCACGCACGUGCGGGCACACAGAGAGUUCAUCUCUGACCCCUUUUCUCCUCGAGUCAAACGAGGAAAAAGGCGUUGGAGCGACGAACAACCACAUCAUACGCUGAAUUCAAAGAAGUGCAUGCACGCAUGCAUGUAUGUGUGGAUGUGGGUGUGUGGGGGAGGGGGAGGAGGAGGAGGCAGUGGUAUGAACCUGGCAUGAGGAUUGGGAAGGAUGGAGUGAGGGGAGGGGGCGAUUAUGCAGCAAACGCGUCGAGGGGUGCUGUUGUGGUGAAAAGGGGUGGGGUGGGGCUCUGUUUCUCUUUCUCUCGGUGGCUUUCAUGCUUUUUGUAUCUCCCCCUUCCCCUCCCUCUUUCUCUUUGUAUCGAGUUGUUUGGGUUGUGCACCGGACCUCUCUCUUUAUUUUCCGUUAUACUCCGUUGUCUGAUGGGAGUGAUGCCGCUUUCGGUGCGCACUCUCCCCCCUCCUCCCUUCUUUCGAUUUGUUUGAAGUGUAUGGAGCACGGUUGUAUAUGCAUUUGCGGGUGUGCGUGAGUUGGGGGGAGGGCUAGUGCGUGCGUGUGGCCGUGCCAAUGGCUGGUAGCUUGCGAUGGCUCUUUUUUUCCUUGGCUUCUUAUCGUUUGUUGUGCAUGUGGUUUUGUAGCGUUGGUACUCAGGCAUGCGCUGGGAAGUGGUGGUGGAGGGGGGAGGGCAAUGAAAGCACGAGAUGGAGAGAAACCACGCGAAGGGGUGGGGUGGGUGGGCGGCAAGAAAUGACGAGGGUACAGGAAAAAAAAGGAGAGACAGGCGUGGAGAGAGUCGGCGGCGAGUGCCCUUCGCAGCUUUCCCGCUCCCUCCUUCUGCCAUCCCUUCCAUCCUUCUCUCCCUCCUCCCUUUAUGGGAGAAAGAGGCCGGCGAAAGCGAUGGCUAGAGUGCGCAAUGUAACCACCCCUUCCUCCCUCCCUCUCCACCAAACCUGUUUCCCGAUAAGACCGAGAGAGGGAGUGCGUGCGUGCGUCAGCAGGAGUGCUCCUCCCCUUUUCCCUCUCUCCCCUGCUGCUGCGGCCCUUGUCGUUUGGUAAGUUUUCAUUGCUAGUGAUUUCCUUUGUCUUUUACCUGUUCCCCUUCUUCUGGCGAUGUUUCCUUUUUACUUUUAUGCCCCUGAUGUGUGUGUGUGUGUGUGUGGCUGCUUCGCCGUUGCUGUUGUGCCUUGUAACUUGUUUGAUAUUUUCCUUCCUUCUUCCCUCGUCUUUGUGUUGGAGCCUCGUUUUCUCUUUCUCUGUGUGUGCGUGCCUCUCUCGUGUUCUUCUAGCGGAUCGUUGUUGUUGUUCUCGUCAUUCACACAUGGUGGCAUUUUGUGCUGUGAGGCCUCUCGCUUUUUUCCCUCCGUCUCCGUGUGAGGGGCGCCGGAGUACGUUGUCGUCUCUCUCUCCCUCUUCUGCGUGCUUCUGAGCUGGUGUGUUUUGCUCAGCGUGGUUUGUGUGGUUUGCUCGUUUUGUUAUUCUCGGCCUGCGUAUGUGCUCGUCAGAGCUGCGGGGAGCGUCGAGGGUCGAUGGAUGGUCCUGGUGGGUCUCGAGGAGGGUUUCAACCCUUUCUUCUGUUUUGGUAUUCUUCCGCGUCUCUUUCUUUCUCGUCUACACCCUGUCUCUUACUUUUCCCACUUCCUCGCUCGUUUCCGCGGCGCCUUUAGUCUCUCGUGCGCGUGUCCUACCUGCCUUGCCCUCCUCGCUUCCUCUCCUUUUCCUCCUUCCCUCGCCGCUUCAUCACGUUCCUGUCUCUCUCUCUCUCUCUGCCGGUGUGCCUGGAAG